rnacentral:rRNA from 1 species
UUAGGGUUGUAAACUGCUUUUGUACGGAACGAAACGGCUCCUCCUAAUACGAGGGGCUAAUGACGGUACCGUAAGAAUAAGCACCGGCUAACUACGUGCCAGCAGCCGCGGUAAUACGUAGGGUGCGAGCGUUAAUCGGAAUUACUGGGCGUAAAGCGUGCGCAGGCGGUUAUAUAAGACAGAUGUGAAAUCCCCGGGCUCAACCUGGGACCUGCAUUUGUGACUGUAUAGCUAGAGUACGGUAGAGGGGGAUGGAAUUCCGCGUGUAGCAGUGAAAUGCGUAGAUAUGCGGAGGAACACCGAUGGCGAAGGCAAUCCCCUGGACCUGUACUGACGCUCAUGCACGAAAGCGUGGGGAGCAAACAGGAUUAGAUACCCUGGUAGUCCACGCCCUAAACGAUGUCAACUGGUUGUUGGGUCUUCACUGACUCAGUAACGAAGCUAACGCGUGA